AUUACUAAGCGGAGGAAAAGAAACUAACAAGGAUUCCCCUAGUAACGGCGAGUGAAGCGGGAAGAGCCCAGCACCGAAUCCCCCGGCCUGUGUCGGUGGGAACUGUGGUGUUUAGGCCGGCUAUUGUCGUCGGUGCGGAGCGUCCGAGUCCUCCUGAUCGGGGCUUCACCCAGAGCGGGUGUCAGGCCUCUACGGCCCUCCGCCCGUCGGCUAUCACCGUCCUUGGAGUCGGGUUGUUUGGGAAUGCAGCCCUAAGUGGGUGGUAAACUCCAUCUAAGGCUAAAUACUGACACGAGUCCGAUAGCGGACAAGUACCGUGAGGGAAAGUUGA
rnacentral:rRNA from 1 species